AUGGAAUCUUAUCGUAUUUGCAAUUUAAAGGGGGACGCUAAGAUCUUGCUUCGUAAUUUUUACAUAGGAUUGGCUUUGCAUCAUAGACAACUCCUAGAUUUUGCCGCUAAAGGGAAUUUUAUUGACCUUGAUGCCAAUGUUGCCUACGAAAUUUUAGAAGGAAUUUUGGGAGUUCCACCUCAAAAGAAAGGGUUUUCUUUCACCCCUGAGGGAGUUCAAAUGUUGGACAAACUUGGUGAUUUGCAUAAACAUAUGGUUGCAAUACAAAAAUAUAAUGAACCCCUCAAAUAUCUCAAUGGUAGUAUCAAUCGCAUGAAUACCUUGAUUACUCUUUGCAACAAGCGAUUGGAUAUUUUGGAUCUAAAGAUGGUUUAUAUUCCUGAGAAUUUAGGGAAGCGUAAAGAGUCUCCCGGGUUUGAGAAAACCCUUACCAAAGUAGCCAAAACAACGGAUGACAAAACUUAG
rnacentral:rRNA from 1 species